rnacentral:lncRNA from 1 species
AAGUGAUGAGCGGGAUGCAGAAUUCACCUGGCCCGCGGCGCACUGGGAAGAGACUGCAGGCUGCAGGCGGGGAGGGGCGGGGAGGGCAGAGAGCCUGCAGGGAGCUGGCCCCACCGCGCGGGAGGAAGGGGCGCUUCCCGGGCUUGCCAUCAUCGCACCUGGCUCACAGCUGACAGCGCCUGGCCCGUCAAUUUCAUUUCCUUCAGUACUUGCAAAUGCUGCCUUCGCCUCCAUAAGUUUCCGCAAGUGGCACACAAAGUGAGUGCAGUGGACCGUGAAAAAAAUGAAAGGUUUUCUAGGUUUUUCAGAAUCUUUCCUUCCAGGGCUCUCCCCUGCUGUGUUUUUUGUAUUAAAUGCCUACCUGCCUGCCUUCUUUCCUUCCUUCCUUUUUCUUUUUCUCUCUUCCUCUCCUCUUCCUCCUUUCUCUCCUUCCUUUCUUUUCCCCACCUCUUCUCCUUUUCUUUCCAGUGGAACUUGAAACACCUAACCUAAUCAGCUGUAGUAUUUUUAUGUUACUACUUUUCAUCUUCAAAUCCCAGGUGGGUCUUCUCCAAUCACAGAGAAUUUACCAAAAGCCACAUACAAUUAGGGAUCUUGCAGCUCAAGAAGGUAAAGGCAAUAUCAAAUAUUCAGAGAGGGGUUAUUUUUCUGGAAAUCAUUAUUUUAAUUUUGACUGUCUCAGCUUUCAUAAUAACUUAAUUGUGCAGAUUCUAUAAAUAUAAUUAAUGCUUAUUAUGUAAGAGUUUUCAAAAUGAACAUGGAG